rnacentral:lncRNA from 1 species
UCUUGUGGGAUAUCUCCUAUCAUUUGAAGAAGAUUCACCUUGAUGCUCUUCAACCUUCUUUUCUUUUGAACCUUGUCUCUUUUCACUCAAAGAUUGGUAUUCCUCAUCAUCAUCAUCAUCUUCAACUUCUUCAUUGUUUGUCAUCCCAAUUGUAUAUACUUUCUUCUUCUUCUUCUUCAUCUUCUUUGGUUCUUCAUGUUGAUUCAAAUCUCCACUAUCUUCAUUGUCUUCAUCUUCUUCUUCUUCUUUUGUUGCUGAAAUUGAAGAUG